rnacentral:rRNA from 1 species
AACGAACGCUGGUGGCGUGCUUAACACAUGCAAGUCGAACGAGAAAAUUUUCUUCGGAAAAUUAGUAAAGUGGCGCAAGGGUGAGUAACACGUGAAUAAUCUGCCCUCGAGAUCGGGAUAACAUGGUGAAAACUAUGCUAAUACCGGAUAAGACCACAUUUCGCAGGAAAUGCGGUAAAAGGAGUCUCAAUCUUCACUCGAGGAUGAGUUCGCGCAACAUUAGCUUGUUGGUGGGAUAAAAGCUCACCAAGGCUACGAUGUUUAGCCGGCCUGAGAGGGUGAACGGCCACACUGGAACUGAGACACGGUCCAGACUCCUACGGGAGGCAGCAGUGGGGAAUAUUGCGCAAUGGGCGAAAGCCUGACGCAGCAACGCCGUGUGAGCGAUG